rnacentral:rRNA from 1 species
UACAGAGGUCCCAAGCGUUGUUCGGAUUCACUGGGCGUAAAGGGUGCGUAGGUGGUGAGGUAAGUCGGAUGUGAAAUCUCCAAGCUCAACUUGGAAACUGCAUUGGAAACUACCUUGCUAGAGGUUUUGAGGGGGGAUUGGAAUACUUGGUGUAGCAGUGAAAUGCGUAGAUAUCAAGUGGAACACCAGUGGCGAAGGCGAAUCCCUGGAAAAUACCUGACACUGAGGCACGAAAGCUAGGGGAGCAAACAGG